CAGCUCUUAAUCUGGUACACUAUUGGUGUCGUUUAUUGUGUGUGUCCACUUGAUUCUGCUCUGCAUUCAGUGUGUUAAUUAAUGCGUGAUCUCUAUUGAGUCACCCCUGGUAUUUCUGGUCAUAGCCCACUCCUAAUUGUGGACCCUGGGCACCAGUUGAAAAGUGUAAUAAAGUUGUAUUACUCGUUGGCCCUAGCAUUGUACUUCUUGGUUUAAUUGGUGAUCGUAGCAGGACCUGCUGCGAGAAGAAAGACAAUGGCAAAGGGCAGGAGAAGGCUGCUCAAG